AAUAGAUACCCGGGUAGUCCACGCCGUAAACGAUGAGUGCUAAGUGUUAGAGGGUUUCCGCCCUUUAGUGCUGCAGCUAACGCAUUAAGCACUCCGCCUGGGGAGUACGGUCGCAAGACUGAAACUCAAAGGAAUUGACGGGGGCCCGCACAAGCGGUGGAGCAUGUGGUUUAAUUCGAAGCAACGCGAAGAACCUUACCAGGUCUUGACAUCCCACUGACCGGUAUAGAGAUAUACCUUUCCCUUCGGGGACAGUGGUGACAGGUGGUGCAUGGUUGUCGUCAGCUCGUGUCGUGAGAUGUUGGGUUAAGUCCCGCAACGAGCGCAACCCUUGAUCUUAGUUGCCAGCAUUUAGUUGGGCACUCUAAGGUGACUGCCGGUGACAAACCGGAGGAAGGUGGGGAUGACGUCAAAUCAUCAUGCCCCCUUAUGACCUGGGCUACACACGUGCUACAAUGGAUGGUACAAAGGGCUGCAAGCUGCGAAGUCAAGCCAAUCCCAUAAAACCCAUUCUCAGUUCGGAUUGCAGG
rnacentral:rRNA from 1 species